rnacentral:rRNA from 1 species
CUACGGCGGCAAAACCAUGCAGUCGUACGGUGUACAGAUAGCUUGCUCUCGGGUGACGAGUGGCGGACGGGUGAGUAAUGUCUGGGAAACUGCCUGAUGGAGGGGGAUAACUACUGGAAACGGUAGCUAAUACCGCAUAAUGUCGCAAGACCAAAGAGGGGGACCUUCGGGCCUCUUGCCAUCAGAUGUGCCCAGAUGGGAUUAGCUAGUAGGUGGGGUAACGGCUCACCUAGGCGACGAUCCCUAGCUGGUCUGAGAGGAUGACCAGCCACACUGGAACUGAGACACGGUCCAGACUCCUACGGGAGGCAGCAGUGGGGAAUAUUGCACAAUGGGCGCAAGCCUGAUGCAGCCAUGCCGCGUGUAUGAAGAAGGCCUUCGGGUUGUAAAGUACUUUCAGCGGGGAGGAAGGUGUUGUGGUUAAUAACCGCAGCAAUUGACGUUACCCGCAGAAGAAGCACCGGCUAACUCCGUGCCAGCAGCCGCGGUAAUACGGAGGGUGCAAGCGUUAAUCGGAAUUACUGGGCGUAAAGCGCACGCAGGCGGUCUGUCAAGUCGGAUGUGAAUCCCCGGGCUCAACCUGGGACUGCAUUCGAAACUGGCAGCUAGAGUCUUGUAGAGGGGGAGUAGAUUCCAGGUGUAGCGGUGAAAUGCGUAAAGAUCUGGAGGAUACCGGUGGCGAGGCGGCCCCUGACAGACUGACGCUCAGUGCAAGCGUGGGGAGCUACGAUGAUUCCUGGUAAGUCACGCGUAACAAUUCAAUUGGAGGUUGGACUGAGGCGUGGCUCCGGACUUACCGUUAUCACCGCUUGGGGAUACGCCAGGUUACUAGAUUCCGUCCCACGUGACA